rnacentral:rRNA from 1 species
CUACGGGUCGCACCAGUGGGGAAUCUUGGACAAUGGGCGCAAGCCUGAUCCAGCCAUGCCGCGUGAGUGAAGAAGGCCUUAGGGUCGUAAAGCUCUUUCGCCAGAGAUGAUAAUGACAGUAUCUGGUAAAGAAACCCCGGCUAACUCCGUGCCAGCAGCCGCGGUAAUACGGAGGGGGUUAGCGUUGUUCGGAAUUACUGGGCGUAAAGCGCGCGUAGGCGGAUUAGUCAGUCAGAGGUGAAAUCCCAGGGCUCAACCCUGGAACUGCCUUUGAUACUGCUAGUCUUGAGUUCGAGAGAGGUGAGUGGAAUUCCGAGUGUAGAGGUGAAAUUCGUAGAUAUUCGGAGGAACACCAGUGGCGAAGGCGGCUCACUGGCUCGAUACUGACGCUGAGGUGCGAAAGCGUGGGGAGCAAACAGGAUUAGAUACCCUCGUAGUC